GUAUUUGGAUCCUCCCUUUUCCCUGUUCCUCAGGGGAAGGGAGGUGGGCGUGGCUAGGGGUACAUUAGCCCCAGCCUUUAGUCAAGAAGCUCAUUUACCAGCCGGGCUUCAAAGGAUUAAGAGUUCUUCCGUUCUUUCAAUUAAUGGAGCCUGUCAAAUUAUUUCAGCAUUAUUAAACCACCAGCUUUGGCAUCUAAAGAAGCAGACCUGAGCGUUGCGUCUUUUGGGAUUUCCUGAUUGUGUCAGCUGCAACUUGUCAGCUUUUCACAAGUGUUGUCCGGUCUUGAGGUGAAGCUACUCUGUGUUGAAGAUGAUUUCAGAAAUCCAAGUUUCUGAGCAGUCAAUAAAAGGUUACAGCUCAGGGAUGGAAUGAGGGCUAGGGUACCUGCCUCGGGGACCCUGUCUGUGCUGCCGGGAGAGAGAAAUCCUUUGGGAAGCUGGGGUGGAAACAGCAACUCUGU